AACGAACGCUGGCGGCAUGCCUAAUACAUGCAAGUCGAGGGGUAGAAGUUGCUUGCAACUUUGAGACCGGCGCACGGGUGCGUAACGCGUAUGCAAUCUACCUUAUACAGAGGGAUAGCCCAGAGAAAUUUGGAUUAAUACCUCAUAGUAUAAUUGAAUGGCAUCAUUUAAUUAUUAAAGUUCCAACGGUAUAAGAUGAGCAUGCGUCCUAUUAGCUAGAUGAUAAGGUAAAGGCUUACCAUGGCAACGAUAGGUAGGGGUCCUGAGAGGGAGAUCCCCCACACUGGUACUGAGACACGGACCAGACUCCGACGGGAGGCAGCAGUGAGGAAUAUUGGACAAUGGGCGCAAGCCUGAUCCAGCCAUGCCGCGUGCAGGAAGAAGCAUCUAUGGUGUGUAAACUGCUUUUGUACGGGAAGAAACACCCCUUCGUGAAGGGACUUGACGGUACCGUAAGAAUAAGGAUCGGCUAACUCCGUGCCAGCCGCCGCGGUAACAC
rnacentral:rRNA from 1 species